rnacentral:antisense_RNA from 1 species
CGCUACGGCGGGCGGCGCGGGGGAGCCGUAAGGCUCGCCGGUUCCCUAUUCCGGUCCGCCAACCUCGCGUCGUCCGUCACCCUG